CCCUAGGGGAGCUUCGUUAGGAAGCUGAGAUGUCGACGCGGCGCAAGGUGCCAACACGACGACCCUUAGAACCUGAUCCGGGUUGUGCCGGCGUAGGGAAACGGGAUG
rnacentral:ncRNA from 1 species